AGUCCACAGAAAGUUAAUCAGUGAGUAUAGCGCAAAGCAAAUAAGGAACUGGGGAGAGGCGCAAUAGGAUCUUUGCUCCUGGCGGGAGGUGCGGAGAAGCUGUGUGCCUGGACAGCCCACGCAGGAAGAAGCGGUGUGCUGUGCAGGCAGGGAGGAGGAUGGGAUGGAGGAAGCAUCUAUCCCCAUGAUACAUUGUACCUUCAUCUGUGCUGAUCCUGCAAACAAUUAUGAGCCAAUAACUACAUCAAGCAAAUUCCUCUUACUGAAAUACACAGCUGCUACUGAUGGAUUUACAAUCUAGAAAAAGAGACCAACUCCUACCUGCUAAACGGCUAUGGAUAAUACAUUUGAAAACAGAUCUGCUAAAUACCAUGUUGUGCCACUGCUUAAGGAUAGUAGCAAGUUCUUCAUUCCCUUUGGAAGGGCACGUGUGCAGGAUUUUCUAGUGAACACAGAGCAGAGCACUCCACAGAAAUAUCACUGGAGCUGUGUCUUAGCUCUUGUAAUAAUUUAUUUCUGCAUCUGCCACAAAUACUAGUGAAUAUAUCUUCCUUAACCCCAUUCUUCCCUCUUUAGAAAAGUGAUGCUUCUAUCCAGUUGAUGGAGAACUUAUGGGAGAAAAAUAUAUAUAUAUGGCUUGAUCACGGUACUUCUGGACUUAUCCAAGAAUGCAGCUACAACCUGAGUUCUGGUUGACUGCAUGGUUGUUUCAGGAGCCUGACAUUUGAUAGCAAUCCCUUAUUUCCCCCUGUCUAA